rnacentral:ncRNA from 1 species
GGUAGUAGCGAAUAUUCGAAAGAGAUCUUGGAUGACUGAAGUGGAGGAGGGUUUUGUGGCAACAGCAGUUGAACACGAGUUAGCCAAUCCUAAGCUCUAUGGGAUACCUGAUAUAUAUUAAGCAUUUAACCCGUUCAAACAAAAAAGUUCAAUCAGCUGAUUUUUGUGUCCAAAAUAAAAAUGAUAAAGAUGUUAACAUAACCUAAUCUGUAAGGCUGUAAGUCAACUUAUCCUAGCGUCUCCUGUCCUGUAUACUUUCGAGUU